ACUUACCUACGGGACGCAGCAGUGGGGAAUAUUGCGCAAUGGGCGAAAGCCUGACGCAGCGACGCCGCGUGAGGGAUGAAGGUCUUCGGAUCGUAAACCUCUGUCAGCAGGGAAGAACGGUCACUGUGCUAAUCAGCAGUGAAUUGACGGUACCUGCAAAGGAAGCACCGGCUAACUCCGUGCCAGCAGCCGCGGUGAUACGGAGGGUGCGAGCGUUAAUCGGAAUUACUGGGCGUAAAGCGCUCGUAGGCGGUAUGUCAAGUCAAGGGCGAAAUUCCCGCGCUCAACGUGGGAACUGCCUUUGA
rnacentral:rRNA from 1 species